AUGUUCGCCGUAAGAGUGUAUCUUUGAGAAGAACAAUGACUUAAGAAAGCCAUCGUGAUUGUCGUUGUUUGGUUCUGUGAAUCAUUGAAUUGUUUGGUUCUGUGAAUCAUUGAAUUAUUUGGUUCUGUGAAUCACUCAUAAUCUUGUUGUUUUUUGUGUUUACAGUGACAUCGAUGGUGUUUUAAAGAUGCACAUUGGUUAUGGCGGUUCAGUGUCAUACAAAAGAGAGAAGUUCUCAUACUCGGUGGAAUUUAUGUUAGAGAUUUGGUCGUCGACCCGGAUCUUAUUACAUAGUCAAUUUUUGAGGAUUUUAUAGUAGACAGAGGAAUCAAGGGUAAGGUGGAGCAGGUUUGGUAUAAAGUAGCCAACGAAGAUAUAUCUACAGCUAGGUCGAUAUACAAAAACAAAGAUGCUAAGAUUAAGAAGUUGUGUGAAGAAACAAAAGGUGUUGGUGAAGCUGAUUUGUAUAUUGUCUAUGGUCAGAAUGCUGACGAAAAUAAGAGUGAUGAUGAAGAGAAGAGUGAUGAUGAAAUUAGAGAAGAAGUUAGUGAUGAAGAAGAAACGAAUGAGACUUAGAUUAGAGAAGAGCAGGAAAAAGCUGUAAAUGGUCAACAAUCUGAGGAUGAAGAACAUAUUUUGGGUCAAGGAGUUGAUCAAGAUGUUCGAUUCCAAAAUAUGUUUUCACAGGCUGCACAGACCGAGUGUACACAACCAAACCUUGUUCAUGAUGAAGAAAGUGAAAGCAAUAGUGAAGAUGAGGAGAUGAAUAUACAGAUUCUUCGGUUGAUAUAGCUGAGGAUGGGCAAAUUUUCACAAAGAAGAUGGAGAAAUAAGAAGAAGAAAAAAGCAACCUCACAAAGAAGCGGUGCAGAUUAUGAUAAGCCUCUAUAUUUGUGACUAAUUCAAACAUUUAAUAAUGGUGAUGAGUUCAGAGAUCAGCUGCUAAGAUAUGUCUUGAAGACUAGUUUGACGUCAAGCUUGAUAGAUAGGAGUCAACAAAACAAGCAGCUAUGUGCACCCAUGAGAAUUGUAAGUGAAGGAUAUAUUGUUCUGUUGAGAAACUAAUUUUUAAGUGGCUGGUUAAGGUAUAUGAAAGCAUCCAUUGGCAUUUGCCAACAGGAAAACUUCAGAUAAUGAAACAAGGGUAUGGAAAUUGCUCUAGCAACAGUUCUCCCAAACGAAGAGCAUAGGAACUGUGCUAAGAAUGUGUAUGCUAAUUGGAAGAAGACUUACGUCGAUGAAGACAAUAGACCUUUCUUCUGGAGGGUGGCUUACAAUCGAACAAUUUCAGAGUUUGAAUCAAUGAUGGAUGAGUUGUGUGUAUUUGAUAGAGAAUUACAUGAUGACUUAAAGACAUCUGAUCCUAGCACUUGGUGUCGUGCUUUCUUCUCCACUGUAGCACAAUCUGAUAACGUCUGCAACAACUUAUAUGAGAGCUUAAACAUGACAAUUAAAAAAUUCAGAGAGUUGCCUCUGAUUCAUAUGUUGGAAACAAUUAGGAGGCAAGCUAUGAUGUGCGUUUCUUGAAGGUGUGUGAAGGAAAACCAAUGUCUACUGGAUUUCUCCAAAAAAUUAGUUGUUACUUUGGAAGCAGACCGAGAAACAAGCAAUCGUUGUACCAUAUAAAUUAGUAGCAAUAAUUUGUAUGAAGUAAGAUUAUAUGGUUUUAGCUUCGAGGUGAGUCUUUGAAUAAAAACUUGUAUUUGUCGGAAGUGGGACCUCACAGGCAUCCCAUAUUGGCAUGCAGUUCGGGUCAUCAAUGACAUCAAAUAAGAUCCAGCUAAUUAUGUGAUUAUUACUACAAGAUUCAGGUUUGGAUAGAGACUUACAGGAACAACAUAAAACCAGUUAAUGGAGAAUUUUUUGGAGGAAGGCUGGUAAAGACCCCAUUGGAGUUACAAGUUUCAGGAAAAUGCCCGGACGUCCUAAGAGAAAGAGGAUUAAGGCAACACAUGAGUUACCUUCAAGACCUAACCGAUUGACUCUGAUGGCAGAACAAUAACAUGUGGUAAUUGCCAACAGGUUGGACAUAACCGAAACACUUGUAAGAAUGCCGCUCAUGUGGUUCAAAGUCCAAAACAUAAACAUGGAAGACCGUUUAAAAUAUUUGAUGAAGAAGAAACAAAUCCAAAAAGACCAAAGAGACAGAAGAAAACAUAGUUCCAAUCUUCCAUCAACACACCUGAUGUUAUAUCUUCAUGUCCCGAGGCAUCUACAAGACCAUCUUCGUCGAUUUCCACUGAUGAAACAACAAGACCACCUGCAACUGAUGCAUCAAGAAGACCACCUGCAACUGGUCGUGUCCGUGGACGUGGACAUGGGCGACCUCUUGGAAAAGGACAAGCACGCAGAGAGGUCAUUCCUAGGGGACAUGAAGUCUAUAUAAAUCCAAUUACUAACAAAUUAUUUGAAGUUUAUGGAGAUAGUUCAUGAUUAUAAGCUCUUCUUCUAAAAAAUUAGUCUUUUGUUUUACAACUCGAGUUAUU